GGUCUGUUGGUCUAAUGGCUUAGGAUAUCAAGCUUUCUACUUGAUGAUGCCGGUUCGACUCCGGUACAGACUA
rnacentral:tRNA from 1 species